CUUCCGGCGGAGGAUCCGAAAUGUGGAAAAUCGAAAAGGCUUGGAGCUAAAGGUGGUGGCCAAGACCCUUCUUCUCGGCCCCUUCCUGUUGGUCCGUAAUUCCCUGGCGCAGCUCCGGGAAGAGGUGCACGAACUGCAGGCGUGGUGGUUCCCCAGCAGAACCACUUUGGACUUCGCAGUCCUUGUGGCUUAUCUCCAUUG
rnacentral:lncRNA from 1 species